UACGUAGGGUCCGAGCGUUGUCCGGAAUUAUUGGGCGUAAAGAGCUCGUAGGCGGUUUGUCGCGUCUGCUGUGAAAUCCCGAGGCUCAACCUCGGACUUGCAGUGGGUACGGGCAGACUAGAGUGUGGUAGGGGAGACUGGAAUUCCUGGUGUAGCGGUGAAAUGCGCAGAUAUCAGGAGGAACACCGAUGGCGAAGGCAGGUCUCUGGGCCACUACUGACGCUGAGAAGCGAAAGCAUGGGGAGCGAACAGG
rnacentral:rRNA from 1 species